GAGUUUCAAUUUUUGCCACAUUUCGCCCCCGCGCACGCUUCCACUUUGGGACAUCCAACUUUAAAGUGUAAUCCCUCGGAGCUGUCUGCGAAGCGCCAAAAGUCCUAGGACCCACACAUUUGCAAUGCAUCUCCAAAGGCCACGAAGGGAGGGGUGCUGGGCUGCUUCUAUGUGGCAGAGGGAUAAUCGUAUCGUUCGAUGGUCGUCGUAUAAUAAAUAUCGUAUAGGAGAGGUGUUUGUCGGUGCUCAACCGAUCAGAGAACGAAAAUGGAGUGGAUUCCGAGGAUGAUGAGGAAGGAAGACACCCCUGAGAAUGAAUCUAAUGACAGCGAGAGCGCCAUAUUUCCGAGAGAAAUAUGUACAGAUAGUCCGCCCUUUCUACAUGAAUUCAAAAGAAAUGUCAUCCUUUCAUCAUGGACUAUAUUCGUAGUUCUUCAAGCAUAUUUCUUAAGUAAACCAAGAUCUACCACAAAUGACAGUUUCCAUGGAUUUUCUCAGGUCUUUGGAAUCACUUAAGAUUCUCCAUUAUUCUGGAAUAUUUCUACCGGAUCACCACUAUAUCAUCACCGAAAGGAAGGAUUCCUUGAUACGUUGUCUAGAGAAAUUCAGUGGAUAUGAAAGGCAAUGUGCACAAUUAUUCUCACCUCUGGCUCUCCGAGAAGGAGACGUCCCAUUAAGAAGUCUGCGAAUGAAUAUUCCUUGCCAGAGAACAGCAGCAUCCUUUCGUUUGAAUAAACCAAUUACGAUCUGUGCUCGUUCUCACUGGCAAUCACCUCCUUGCCGCUGUCCUGUCCUGUCCCAUUGCUGAUUGGCAUUCCAUUAUCUGCAUCUUCACGAGAAGCUUCUUCAUUAUUCCAUCAUCAUCAUCAUCAUCGAAAGGAGCUGCAGGAGCUGCACGAGGAGCUACUGCUUCAGUGGCAGUAACAGCUGCCACUGCAGGAUCCUUCAUUAUGUUGAUUCGUGAGGAAGGACGAGAGCGACUAAGAGGACGAGAGCGAGUGCGAGUGCGAGUGCUGCGUAUUUGGUUAAAUUGUUGAAGGUCGCCCGAAGGCAGCAGCACUUUUGUGGGUCUGCCUGCCCGUGGGUCUGCCUGCCAAGUCUCAUGUGCAUAAUUCAAGUUGUUGCACAUGCCACACACACACAUACACACACACACACACAUGUGAGACACUCGAGCGGCACGACGAGCCCUGUCGACUGUCGACUGCUAAGUGUCCUUUGGCAGGCGCAAGAUGAAAGCAAAAGGCGGCUGAAAUUAAAUUAAAAUGAAAUGCAUGCAAAGUGCCACAGCGGCAGCGACAACGACAUGGUCCCGCGUCCCGAGUCCCGUAUCCCGACUCCCAGCUCCCAGCUCCCGAGUCCUCUUUUAGUCCUCGUCAUCGGUGUGUCCUGAGUGUGUACUUUAAGCUUGCAAUUAAAUUGCAGGACGAGCCGCACCGCUGCCACUGCCGCCGCACGGGAAUUGCGCAGGCUCUCCGAUAGCGAGGAGUUGGAGAUCCCUGCCGCCCAGAGGGUGGGGCAGAGGGCAUGUCCAAUGCAUAUGCAUUGCAAUUAAGCAAUCAAUGGCAUAAUUAUCGACACAUGAGAGUCACCCGAUUUAUUAACACGCCUGCCCCGAGGCGCUGCUGCAACAGCAACAGCAACAGAACAGCAAUCGACAAUCGAUUGGCAACUUGUUCAAUUUAAAUGCUCAAACAAACAAAGGAGACCAGACACAGACACCGGAGAGGCGGGGGGCUGGCAGUGUGGGGAGAGUGGUUUUCGGGCAUACAGCCGGAGCCGGAGUGGGGGGUUAACCAAGAAGCCAUUUGCAGACCAGAUCCAGAUCCUGUGCCAAUCAGCAGCCGCAAGCCACACAAAAACUGUCGCGACACCGAAAUGGCGGCCAAAGAAGUGUUUCGUUUUACAGACUGUAAGCGCAUUUUAUGGAACUUUUGUCCUAAUAUGAAGGAAGAGACAUUUGUAAUGGAAAACGAUGCAAGAUCUACAAUGUUCAAAGGAACAUUGGCGGCUGAAACAGGAACUACAGGCACACAGGAACUACAGGAACUACAGGAACUUAAAGACGAAGGACAGGAAUAGUUCGAUGCUUCAGCAAAUAAGAUGUCUAUCAUAUAUUAUUGUGGAAAAAAACACGUCGGUGUUUGAUUUUGAACAGACAGAUAGAAGGAAACAUUUCCGAACCCAUGAGGUACACAGUAGUAGCCGGGCUCCCUCCGGCGGCUGUACCUGUUUGGGUGGUGCCGGAUCGGUACUGCAUCCACGAUCGCAUGCAUCGUGCUUCGCAGGUGCAGACAUUACCGACAUCGUCUUCCCUCCUGCACCUCCUGCUUUACCUUGAAGGCUUUGACCGGCUUAUUGGCCGAGACCCUUUAUGGCAACAACCGCGAUAUCCUCCUCUUACCCCGCCAGAUCGCACCUUCCGGAGGACAUGAAUAGCUCUUGUUUACGAAGGGCCUAAGCCUGACGACAGUCCACUCCAUGCGAGCGGCUGACAUCGGAUUUGCAUAAAAUUACAAUACUGGUUUUUUCUGUAGGCCAUAUCUCUGGUAUCCGGCAGCCGAUCUGGGCGCGGCAUGUCUCUCCGUGCUCGGGAGAGUCCUACCAAUCGACUGUCACCCUAAAAAGGGACAUCAAUUUUCUCACUAUUUUCGUAAAAAAUCAUGAUGGUUACA
rnacentral:sRNA from 1 species